rnacentral:tRNA from 1 species
AUGCCGGUGGUGCAGUAGUAGCAUGGCGGUCUCCAAAACCGCAGGCGCAGGUGCGAUUCCUGCCCGGUGUG